AACGAACGCUGGCGGCGCGCCUAAUACAUGCAAGUCGAGCGAGAAGACGUAGCAAUACGUUUGUAAAGCGGCGAACGGGUGAGGAAUACAUGGGUAACCUACCCUCGAGUGGGGAAUAACUAGCCGAAAGGUUAGCUAAUACCGCGUACGCUCCUUGGACUUCGGUUCAGGGAGGAAAGCGAUACCGUGGGUAUCGCGCUCAUGGAUGGGCUCAUGUCCUAUCAGCUUGUUGGUGAGGUAACGGCUCACCAAGGCUUCGACGGGUAGCUGGUCUGAGAGGACGAUCAGCCACACUGGCACUGCGACACGGGCCAGACUCCUACGGGAGGCAGCAGUAAGGAAUAUUGCGCAAUGGGCGAAAGCCUGACGCAGCGACGCCGCGUGGGGGA
rnacentral:rRNA from 1 species